UCCCAUCUGUUCCCUACCCACCCACAGAA
rnacentral:piRNA from 1 species